UUAUUAAAUUACUUGACUGCACAUAGUGCAAUAUUUUAGGAGCCACAUCUGGAUUGUGAUAAAUUCCUGUCCUGAUGGGAAGCACAUGCCAACUGUUAUCUUCGUUCUUCAUAUACGGAAUCGAAAUGGAAGUGACAACUUGCUGGGCAACUGGAAGCAAGGAUUGAAACAAGAAAAAUUACUUACUGUGAUUCUUACCGAUCUGAGCCUGGGAGCAUCUCUCAAAUUCAAUUGAGUCUCUUUCCUCAUCUAUCCAAUUGCAAAACAUGCAGCUUUGGAAUGAAUCACUACAAUGCAAUAAAGGACUGUUGUGCAUGAAGAAGAAUGAAGGG
rnacentral:lncRNA from 1 species